rnacentral:rRNA from 1 species
GUAGGGAAUAUUGGGCAAUGGGCGAGAGCCUGACCCGGCCAUGCCGCGUGCAGGAUGAAGGCUUUCUGAGUCGUAAACUGCUUUUGCCAGGGAAGAAAAAGAGGGAUGCGUCCUUCACUGACGGUACCUGGUGACUAAGCACCGGCUAACUCCGUUCCAGCAGCCGCGGUAAUACGGAGGGUGCAAGCGUUGUCCGGAUUUAUUGGGUUUAAAGGGUGCGUAGGCGGUUCGUUAAGUCCGGGGUGAAAGCCCACUGCUCAACAGUGGAACUGCCCUGGAAACUGGCGAACUUGAGUACAGACGAGGGUGGCGGAAUGGAUGGUGUAGCGGUGAAAUGCAUAGAUACCAUCCAGAACCCCGAUUGCGAAGGCAGCUGCCUAGACUGUAACUGACGCUGAGGCACGAAAGCGUGGGGAGCGAAC